rnacentral:rRNA from 3 species
CACCGCGGUUAUACGAGAGACCCAAGUUGACAGGUGCCGGCGUAAAGGGUGGUUAAGGACAAAAAUUACUAAAGCCGAACAUCCCCUUGGCUGUUAUACGCACCCGGAGGAUUGAAGCCCCACCGCGAAAGCGGCUUUAAUUUGCCUGAACCCACGACAGCUAAGAAA